UACGAAGGGGGCUAGCGUUGCUCGGAAUCACUGGGCGUAAAGGGUGCGUAGGCGGGUCUUUAAGUCAGGGGUGAAAUCCUGGAGCUCAACUCCAGAACUGCCUUUGAUACUGAGGAUCUUGAGUUCGGGAGAGGUGAGUGGAACUGCGAGUGUAGAGGUGAAAUUCGUAGAUAUUCGCAAGAACACCAGUGGCGAAGGCGGCUCACUGGCCCGAUACUGACGCUGAGGCACGAAAGCGUGGGGAGCAAACAG
rnacentral:rRNA from 1 species